GAUGAAGAACGUAGCGAAAUGCGAUAAGUAAUGCGAAUUGCAGAAUUCAGUGAGUCAUCGAAUCUUUGAACGCACAUUGCGCCCUGUGGUAUUCCGCAGGGCAUGCCUGUUCGAGCGUCAUUCCAACCCUCAAGCUCUGCUUGGUGUUGGGCCCUGCCCGCUGCGGCCGGCCCUAAAGACAGUGGCGGUGCCGCCUGGCCCUGAGCGUAGUACAUCUCUCGCUCCAGUGCCCGGUGGUAGCCUGCCAGAACCCCAACUCUCGUGGUUGACCUCGGAUCAGGUAGGGAUACCCGCUGAACUUAAGCAUAUCAAUAAGCGGGGA
rnacentral:misc_RNA from 1 species